UCGUACGACAACUCACCUCCCCUUCGUACGACCGAGAAACCAUCCCACCUCCGUUUCCCUGUUCCACCUCGUAUUUUUUUUCUCGUUCCACCCACGGCUGCCGCAUCCCCUACCACAACCCCCUCCCCCCAAAACCGUACUUUCUUAUCCCUCUUCCCACGUCCCUCACCACCGCAUCAACCUAGCAUAGUCUCAUCCUAAGAGAGUUUCUCCUGAGUGCAGAUCUCCUCGGCGAUGCCUCUCCCUAACGCUUACCACUGGUGGUUCUCUGCCUCCCAUCCACGUGUUGCCCCACCUCGCAGUCCCACCGAUAUCUAGAUGGUGGUAAGAUUGACCAGGGGAAGCGUUGCUACGAAAUGUGGAUAAAUCACGAAAGGCACAGAUCUGCAGAGGAGCGGGCUCGGCGGGGAGGCGGCCUGUGACAACAUAGGAGGAGCUUGACGCCUUAGAAGACGGGUCAUGUCCAACAUGCCGGCGCCAAGCGCACGGUGGCUGCGGAAGAGGAGAGGGGUGGUGGCGGCGCUACUAGGCUAGAGGUUCCGACAGGGAGGUGGUUCACGGGGGGUUUCAAUCUGACAAGGUAUUUCAUGCUCUUCCUGCACUAUGACAUGGUUACUAUGGCUCCCAGGUAUGUUACCCAACUCCCUAAUUUCACUUGUUCUUUUUUAAUUAACUUACACACACGUCAUGAAAAAUCAUGUUGAUUAGUGCAGACAAAUUCUUUUUUGCACAUAGCUAAGCUUUUGAGUAGUAUAGAAAUAAUCUUAAUUCAUGUUCAUGUUCAUGUUUCAUUGGAGGCUGCAAAACUGGCUCCAACACCUGUGCUGCUAGCUGUCACUUGUCAAUGACCAAUGCAAAAAUGAAAGGGAGACUUGUUGUAAUUUGAAAGGUGCAUGUGCUUGGACUGUUUUUUGUUUCUUCUUGUGACUUCUCAAGCUUGCCAUAUGUUAUUGUUCUAACUACAUCACACUUCUAAGUGAAUAGCAGGAAAAUAAGCUAGCAAAAUAAUACUGAUUUGUUUGGAUACUAAUUGCUAACAAUACACUUGCAAAAUAAAUAAAUAAUGUUUUGCCACAUGUUUGCAAGCAGGAAAAUAGUUCACGUGAAGAGUAACACCAGGGCGUUGGUAUAAGUUGUGCCUGGAAUAUUUGGCAAGUCACUUCCGAAAUUUAAAUAGCAGUAUUUACAUGAGCAAAGGAAAAAUAAGUUA